rnacentral:rRNA from 1 species
UUUAAAGAGAGUUUGAUCCUGGCUCAGGACGAACGCUGGCGGCGUGCCUAAUACAUGCAAGUCGAACGAACGGAGGAAGAGCUUGCUCUUCCAAAGUUAGUGGCGGACGGGUGAGUAACACGUGGGCAACCUGCCUGUAAGUUGGGGAUAACUCCGGGAAACCGGGGCUAAUACCGAAUGAUAAAGUGUGGCGCAUGCCACGCUUUUGAAAGAUGGUUUCGGCUAUCGCUUACAGAUGGGCCCGCGGUGCAUUAGCUAGUUGGUAGGGUAAUGGCCUACCAAGGCAACGAUGCAUAGCCGACCUGAGAGGGUGAUCGGCCACACUGGGACUGAGACACGGCCCAGACUCCUACGGGAGGCAGCAGUAGGGAAUCUUCCGCAAUGGACGAAAGUCUGACGGAGCAACGCCGCGUGUAUGAAGAAGGUUUUCGGAUCGUAAAGUACUGUUGUUAGAGAAGAACAAGGAUAAGAGUAACUGCUUGUCCCU